rnacentral:rRNA from 1 species
UACGUAGGGUGCAAGCGUUGUCCGGAAUUAUUGGGCGUAAAGAGCUCGUAGGCGGUUUGUCGCGUCUGCUGUGAAAUCUGGGGGCUCAACCCCCAGCCUGCAGUGGGUACGGGCAGACUAGAGUGCGGUAGGGGAGAUUGGAAUUCCUGGUGUAGCGGUGGAAUGCGCAGAUAUCAGGAGGAACACCGAUGGCGAAGGCAGGUCACUGGGCCGCAACUGACGCUGAGGAGCGAAAGCAUGGGGAGCGAACAGG